ACGAACGGUCUGGAAAGUCCGACGAUACAGGGUGAUAGUCCCGUAGUUGACGACGUGUGUUCAGUGAAAUCGAGUAGGGCGGGACACGUGAUAUCCUGUCUGAAUAUGGGGGGACCAUCCUCCAAGGCUAAAUACUACUGACUGACCGAUAGUGAACCAGUACCGUGAGGGAAAGGCGAAAAGAACCCCUGUGAGGGGAGUGAAAUAGAACCUGAAACCGUGUACGUACAAGCAGUAGGAGCAGGCUUUGUCCUGUGACUGCGUACCUUUUGUAUAAUGGGUCAGCGACUUAUAUUCAGUGGCAAGGUUAACCAUCUAGGGGAGCCGUAGGGAAACCGAGUCUUAACUGGGCGUUCAGUCUCUGGAUAUAGACCCGAAACCAGGUGAUCUAGCCAUGGGCAGGUUGAAGGUUGAGUAACAUCAACUGGAGGACCGAACCGACUAAUGUUGAAAAAUUAGCGGAUGACUUGUGGCUAGGGGUGAAAGGCCAAUCAAACCUGGAGAUAGCUGGUUCUCCCCGAAAGCUAUUUAGGUAGCGCCUCGGACGAAUACUACUGGGGGUAGAGCACUGUUAAGGCUAGGGGGUCAUCCCGACUUACCAACCCUUUGCAAACUCCGAAUACCAGUAAGUACUAUCCGGGAGACACACGGCGGGUGCUAACGUCCGUCGUGGAGAGGGAAACAACCCAGACCGCCAGCUAAGGUCCCAAAUUACUACUAAGUGGGAAACGAUGUGGGAAGGCUCAGACAGCCAGGAUGUUGGCUUAGAAGCAGCCAUCAUUUAAAGAAAGCGUAAUAGCUCACUGGUCGAGUCGGCCUGCGCGGAAGAUGUAACGGGGCUAAGUAGUAAACCGAAGCUGCGGCAAUGUGCUUUUGCACAUUGGGUAGGGGAGCGUUCUGUAAGCGGUUGAAGGUGUGUGGUAACGCAUGCUGGACGUAUCAGAAGUGCGAAUGCUGACAUGAGUAACGAUAAAGGGGGUGAAAAACCUCCUCGCCGGAAGACCAAGGGUUCCUGUCCAACGUUAAUCGGGGCAGGGUAAGUCGACCCCUAAGGCGAGGCCGAAAGGCGUAGUCGAUGGGAAACGGGUUAAUAUUCCCGUACUUCUUACAAUUGCGAUGGGGGGACGGAGAAGGCUAGGUGGGCCUGGCGACGGUUGUCCAGGUUCAAGUGCGUAGGCUUAAGA
rnacentral:rRNA from 1 species